rnacentral:lncRNA from 1 species
GGUCAUACUUGGUAUUAGUUGAAAAUCCAGAGAAUGAGCUCGCAUAGGAACGGUUGUCAUCCUCACACAUUUUGUGCAAUUGUUGAUAUUCUUCUUGGGCUAGUUCAAAACGCUGCUGCUUUAUUUGGUAAAUCUCUUUCUUGGCAUUGAGUGCCUCCUGGGCAACUAUUAAAUAUUCCUUUAGCAUGCGUUCCUGCUCCCUUCUCCAUUGCUCCCUUGGGUCUUCAAUUUGUGUAAGCUGAUUUAUGUGGUCCAUAUAAUACACUCCAAUCUGUUGAUCGUAAACAGUUUCCCAUCCUAAAGGAAGCUCAUCACCAACACAGUCAGCAAACGUCAAUGGCUUUGUAAUCCUGUCGCGGGGGUCGAUCCACG